rnacentral:sRNA from 1 species
AUAGAUUAAUGAGGAUAAAUGUUAUCUCACCCCUCACUAUAAAAUGGACCCCGCUUCUGAUAAGAAUUUCCUAUCUAUACAAAGGAAAAAAUAUUUAGGGGGAAAUUUACAGAGAAAGACAGACAAUGAAGUGAACCAUAUUAAGAUAUUUUAUCUUUUGAUGCAAGCUUUUUUGUCAAAGUACAUGUAUAGAGUAAUAAUACUAUUGCCAAAUUUCUGUAAUAAAUUAUUCAAAAAAUUAAUUCUUAAAUAUUCAUUAAAGAAUAUGUACAGUUAAGUAAGUUGUAAUUCAUAUAAUUUAAUUUAUUAUUAUUUUAUUUCAAUAAGGACUAAACUUUUUCUCUGUAUUUAAAUUGCUUUUCAGUUUGCACGCCGAAAUUUAUAUUGAAUACUACGGAAUCGUUCACAAUAAUCACAUUUAUCCAUGUUUAUUCUUACAUUCACACACGUUUAUUCUUACAUUCAAAUAUUCUUUAAAAUGAUAUAGAUUCAGAAUACAAUAACAAGGUUUCUUUUUUGAAUGUUCACCCUAUGGAGCCUUAAUAAUUGUGCACGUGUUAUUAAAACCUUCAUUGAACGAAAUCGAAGCCAUUCAUAGAAAACCAUUUUUGGUCAAAUGGUUAUGCACGCUCGCGCGUGUAACUUAAUGUAGUGGAAGCUGAAUAACAAAUACUGGUUAAUUCUGAAAAUCAACAGAUGCAUUGAAUAUUGGGAAAAUGCGACAGAACCAUCAUAGAAAUAUAGGAAUUUUUACAAGAGCUUGAAACUGAGGAGAGUUGAUUUCUAUAUCCUAAUGGCCAAUAAAGUGUUCACAUUAGGAGAAAGCUUUAAGCAAGUCCAUCAGAAUAAAAAUAUGCUUUAAUAUUUUCCGCCGUCCCGAUCUAUUUUUUUUUUUACUGCGAAAAUCCUCCGUCACCAAAAUAGCAACUGUCAUAAAUGCCGAUCGGUGGCGGGUGAGGGGGGUAGGUUUUGAAAUAUUUGACCAAGGGUUUAAGCGCGAAUCGCAGCAGCGUCAUUUUGAGGGAUUGACACGAUCAAUAGAAAAAGACCGAAAAUGUCUUAAUUAGAACGGAAUCCAAACAAGAUUCACGAUGUAAUUGUGUCGUAAAUUCUGGCGUCAGGGAGAUACGUCUUAUAGGCUUUGGAAUAAAAUUUAAAAUAAACACUGCAAAUCUUAAAAUUGAAAUUAAACGCCAAAUGAAACACGUAUUUACAAUACUAGAACACACAUAAAUUAUUAACUGUGCAUAUUCAGCUCAUAUGUAGCUUCGGGAUGAGCCUCCAAAACUGAGAGACAUUUUAUUUGACAGUCUUUCACACUUUCCGGAAAAUUUAUUUUUACAAGACAGGCCCAACACCCUCUGGUGUCAUCCUUGAAAUGUUUGCUUACUUAAGCAUUUUCAAAUUCAUGCAAUUCGUUUAACUCGAUUGUUCCAAUGACAUUUUAUGCAACACGC